GCCGUGCUGUGUCCCAGAUUGUGACUGUCUAUGAUAAAUUGCAAGAAAAAGUGGAUCUCUUAUCCCGGAAACUGAACAGUGGAGGUGAGGAGAAGACCAGGAGACAGGGAUCAAUGGGAGGCAAGAACUCAGCUCUAGGAGGCUUGGGGUGCUGCUCAGUAGUAAGGGAGAAUGUGGCUAGGUGUGUGGCUUCUAUUCCAGCACCAAAACGAGUAAGAGAGGAAAACUCAGUUUAACGAAGCUCCCUGGAGUUUUAACCCUUGUGACUCUCAGUGUAAUUCCCAUGACAUGCUAACGAUAUACUUUCAUAAGUAGAAGUAAACUUCUGACUUCAGAUGGUGAGUUUUAAUGUGUUCCUUUUCCUUUGGUGUAUUUAAAGACAGUUAGAUGAGGUAGUAAAGUAAUAAGAUGACUCCUGUGUUUGAAGAGAUAGAAUAGGAAACCAGUGGAUGAAAAAGCCUUAAAGUAAAAUGACCAUUUGGAAUACUUAUUGAGUUUUAUUACUGAAAUUAUGUUUGUACAGUAUAGGAAGUAUACUAAAAUUAUUAAAGAUCUUUAGUCAUUUGUGAUAGAUCUCUUUCUUAAAUGCAGAUAAAAUGCCUUUAUUUCAGGUUUUCAACAUUAGCCAUGAUCUGGUUACAGUAUCUUUUAAGAAGUUUUAUUGUAUAUGUAUAUGUGAGUGUAUAAUUAUAUACACAUGAGUGUAGGUAACUGAGGAGUUCAGAAGAGGGCAUCAGGUCCCCCUGGACCUUGAGUUGUUGGCCACCUGACAUGGAUUUUUGGUAACUAAACUGGGGUUCCCUGCAAGAGCAGUACAUUCUCUUAUCCUCUAGCCAUCUCCCUAACCCUCUGUUGUAGUAUUUUAGCUGCCGUGAUUAUCAUCAAGAUAUUUAAUGUUUUAAUCUCCUAAAUAAAUUAGUUAACUAUAAUGUGCUUUAUUUACUAGGUGAGCAAAUAAGAACUGUAUUAUUCUAGAAUUUUAUUUUCAAGAAAAUUCUUAAAAAUUGCUUCUUUUUUAGUACGGUAAUUAAUAUGCUUGUUUAUAUUUUAUUUUUUAAUUAGGAUACUACAGUUGAGAGUGGAUGGGUAUGACUACUCCUUCCUAUUGCUAUAAAACUAGCUGUGUGAUACUUCUGUCUCCCAUGGCUCUAAUUGACUGCCUAGAGGGUAUUGUUAAACCACUCUAAUGUGGGGAAUGUACAAUGUGCAGAGGUUAUUUUGAUGCUACAUUUGAUAUUUUAGGUGAAUGUCAAGUACAUUAUUUGCUAUAUUUGUAAAGGAAUUAGACUGAAUAGAAAAUAAAACUGAACUA
rnacentral:lncRNA from 1 species